GGCUUCAUAGCUCAGAAGUAGAAUGUUUGCACCGGAAUCGCAAAGGUCAUGGGUUCACAUCCCGUUGGAGCCU